UGGGCAACCUGCCCCUCUCUCUGGGAUAACCCCGGGAAACCGGAGCUAAUACCGGAUACUCCGGCUGGAUCGCAUGGUCCGGCCGGGAAAGGUCCGCCGGAGAGGGAUGGGCCCGCGGCCUAUCAGCUUGUUGGUGAGGUCACGGCUCACCAAGGCUACGACGGGUAGCUGGUCUGAGAGGACGACCAGCCACACUGGAACUGAGAUACGGUCCAGACUCCUACGGGAGGCA
rnacentral:rRNA from 1 species